rnacentral:rRNA from 1 species
UACAGAGGUCCCAAGCGUUGUUCGGAUUCACUGGGCGUAAAGGGUGCGUAGGUGGUGGGGUAAGUCGGAUGUGAAAUCUCCAGGCUCAACCUGGAAACUGCAUUGGAAACUGCUCUACUAGAGGGUUUGAGGGGGGACUGGAAUACUUGGUGUAGCAGUGAAAUGCGUAGAUAUCAAGUGGAACACCAGUGGCGAAGGCGAGUCCCUGGAAAAUACCUGACACUGAGGCACGAAAGCUAGGGGAGCAAACAGG